AAGUCGUAACAAGGUUUCCGUAGGUGAACCUGCGGAAGGAUCAUUACUGAAUUGUCAACACGAGUUGCUGCUGGUCCUCGAAUGGGGGCAUGUGCACGCUCUGUUCACACAUCCACUCACACCUGUGCACCCUCUGUAGUUCUAUGGUUUGGGGGACUCUUUCCCCGUUCUGUGGUUCUAUAUCUUUACACACACUCUGUAAUGAAGUCUCAUGGAAUGUAUGCCGCGUUUAACGCAAUACAAUACAACUUUCAGCAACGGAUCUCUUGGCUCUCGCAUCGAUGAAGAACGCAGCGAAAUGCGAUAAGUAAUGUGAAUUGCAGAAUUCAGUGAAUCAUCGAAUCUUUGAACGCACCUUGCGCCCUUUGGCUAUUCCGAAGGGCAUGCCUGUUUGAGUAUCAUGAACACCUCAACUCUCAUGGCUUGCCAUGAUGGGCUUGGAUUAUGGGGGUCUUGCUGGCCUAUGGUCAGCUCCUCUCAAAUGGAUCAGCUUUCCAGUGUUUGGUGGCAUCACGAGUGUGAUAACUAUCUACGCUUGUGGUUUCCUGCCAGGUAACCUUCAGUGAUGGGGGUUCGCUGGGGCUCAUAAAUGUCUCUCCUCAGUGAAGACAGGUUUUUAAUGUUUGAUCUCAAAUCAGGUAGGACUACCCGCUGAACUUAAGCAUAUCAAUAAGCGGAGGAAAAGAAACUAACAAGGAUUCCCCUAGUAACUGCGAGUGAAGCGGGAAGAGCUCAAAUUUAAAUCUGGCGUGCCUCUGGUCGUCCGAGUUGUAGUCUGGAGAAGCGUCUUCCGUGUUGGACCGUGUAUAAGUCUCUUGGAACAGGGCGUCAUAGAGGGUGAGAAUCCCGUCUUUGACACGGACUACCAAUGCUUUGUGAGGCGCUCUCAAAGAGUCGAGUUGUUUGGGAAUGCAGCUCAAAAUGGGUGGUAAAUUCCAUCUAAAGCUAAAUAUAGGCGAGAGACCGAUAGCGAACAAGUACCGUGAGGGAAAGAUGAAAAGCACUUUGGAAAGAGAGUUAAACAGUACGUGAAAUUGCUGAAAGGGAAACGCUUGAAGUCAGUCAUGUCUGCCAGGACUCAGCCUUGCUUCUGCUUGGUGUACUUUCUGGUUUGAUGGGCCAACAUCAAUUUUGACCGUUGGAGAAAGGCUUUGGGAAUGUGGCACCUUAUGGUGUGUUAUAGCCCUUUGUUGUAUACGACGGUUGGGAUUGAGGACUGCAGCACGCCUUUAUGGCCGGGGUUCGCCCACGUACGUGCUUAGGAUGUUGGCAUAAUGGCUUUAAGCGACC
rnacentral:rRNA from 1 species